AAAAUUUUUUUGCACCAUCAUCUAAUAUAUAGUGGUAGGAGUAGCCAAUUCAUUAUAUGUAUUGUACUGAUAAUAGCUUAAUAAUAUGAUGCCCAUCUGCUGAGGUGCAGGCAUAGUUUCUAUCUGAUUCAUUGCUGUUGUUCUUGAUCCUCCUUUUGUAGCGUAGUGUUAAACGAAGUUGGUCAUUAUUUGGCAAUUCUGACCCUAAAGUUCUUCGAAAGGCCUCGGGAUAAUGCAUGGGAUUUAUAAUGAGAUUUAUAUAUAAAAAGAUUGAUAAAUCCAUCAGAUGAUGGCUUCAUGUACUAAAUAUUUUUAUAUCGAUGACAAUGUAAUAUGAAAUAGGUGUGAGAAUUGCCAAAUAAUGACCAACUUCGUU
rnacentral:misc_RNA from 1 species